CAGAAAGGUAUCAAAACAACAUUUGAUCUCCUUGGUUGUAGAAGAUAAAAAACUUCCCUGGACUUCAGCUGAUGCGUGAUCCGGAAAUCUGGAGUGAGCAGAUUUGUGGAAACAGACUUGACGUUCUGCGAGAAGAGAGAGAGGUUAAAUGGAAGUGGUACACCCUAUGUGAUAUUUCCUGGUAAUGCCUACAAACAAUGGUCUUCAGGGCUUCAGCUGGCCCAGAGAGAAGUGGGAACAAAAAACCAUGCUGAAAACAUUGAAAGAGAGGACUAGAGGAGAGAAAUGAAAGGAGGCAUGUAAAGUUCCUCUUGAAAGCACUGGCCACUACCCAAGACAGGAUACUAGACUAGAUGGAGUGACAGCCUAAUACAUUUAAACAAGAUCUAGGAUAGUGCAGUUACAGAUGUAAUCUGCAAAAUAUCAAUUUGCAAGAAGAAACUUCAAGCUGCACAAGGACACAAGGCUCUUUCUGUUACUUUCAAACACAAGUCUACUCUUCAAAGAGCUUGAGAAGAAAGUGGAUGCUAAUAGGACAAGCAGUUCAUUAUUUUUUGCAAUUUCAUGUAU